GCUAGCGUUGUUCGGAAUUACUGGGCGUAAAGCGCACGUAGGCGGCUUUGUAAGUUAGAGGUGAAAGCCUGGGGCUCAACUCCAGAACUGCCUUUAAAACUGCAUCGCUUGAAUCCAGGAGAGGUGAGUGGAAUUCCGAGUGUAGAGGUGAAAUUCGUAGAUAUUCGGAAGAACACCAGUGGCGAAGGCGGCUCACUGGACUGGUAUUGACGCUGAGGUGCGAAAGCGUGGGGAGCAAACAGG
rnacentral:rRNA from 1 species